GGAGCCCGGGCGCACUGGCCAGGCCGCGGGCUGUCCCAGGGAGCCCCGAGGGCGCGGUGCGCGGGCGCAGGUCGGGCGCAGGCGGGGUGACCCGGGGAAGGGGCGCGCACAGAGACAGAGGAAGCCAGCCGAGCCCUGCGGUGUCCUCGGACGCCUCCGAAAUCUCCCUGAGUGUUUGUUUCUUCGGAGCUUCACCGGAGCCUGACUCUGGACCCGGCCUGUCUGCCUACUGCAGUCUGGAAACGUUGUGUUCUGUUAGUCUUGGAGGCCAAGGCUGAGUGGGUUUAUCUCUGUGCCCCUCCAGUGACUUCAAAGAAUGCCAAAAGUCUCUCGAGUGUGUGUGUGUGCACACACAGACACACACAAAUAUGCAUUCUUAGAAACCAGAUAUACAAAGACAAGCUCUCUGCUUUCAAGAAGCUCUCAAUCUGAUCGAGGAGAGAAACAGGUAGCAAAUAAUGACAGCAGAGCGUG
rnacentral:antisense_RNA from 1 species